AUCGAACGCUGGCGGCAGGCCUAACACAUGCAAGUCGAACGGAGCGGCGGACGGGUGAGUAAUGCCUAGGAAUCUGCCUGGUGGUGAAGGAUAACGUACGGAAACGGGCGCUAAUACCGCAUGCUAUCAGAUGAGCCUCGGGCGGAUAGGCUAGUUGGUGGGGUAAAGGCCUACCAAGGCGACGAUCCGUAACUGGCCUGAGAGGAUGAUCAGUCACACUGGAACUGAGACACGGUCCAGACUCCUACGGGAGGCAGCAGUGGGGAAUAUUAGGCAAUGGGCGAAAGCCUGAUCCAGCCAUGCCGCGUGUGUGAAGAAGGUCUUCGGAUUGUAAAGCACUGUAAGUUGGGAGGCGUUACCAACAGAAAAAGCACCGGCUAACUUCGUGCCAGCAGCCGCGGUAAUAC
rnacentral:rRNA from 1 species